ensembl:lncRNA
CAUAGAGACCCUAUAGGACCCCAUAGGACCCCAUAGGACCCCAUAACCUCCAUGUCCCCCUGCAGGGGCGCCGUGAGUUGGCGCUGAGCUCCUUCUGGUUGGCCAACUGCUGUAUAAGGACCCCAUAGAGCCCCAUAGGACCCCAUAGAGACCCCAUAGAGCCCCAUAGAGCCCCUUAGAGCCCCAUAGAGACUCCAUAGAGCCCCAUAGUGACCCCAUAGAGCCCCAUAGGGACUCAUAGGACUGCAUUGGACUCCAUGGAGCCCCGUAGGACUCAUAGGGACUCCAUAGAGACUCCAUAGAGACCCCAUAGGACCCCAUAGAGACCCCAUAGAGCUCCAUAGGAUCCCAUAGAGGCCCCAUAGAGACUCCAUAGAGCCCCCAUAGAGGCCCAUAGGACCCCACAGAGACUCAUAGGACCCCAUAGGACCCCAUAGAGCCCCAUAGAGACCCCAUAGAGUCCCCAUAGAGCCCAAUAGGACCCCAUAGGACUCCAUAGAGACCCCAUAGAGACCCCAUAGAGACCCCAUAGAGCCCCUUAGAGCCCCAUAGAGACUCCAUAGAGCCCCAUAGGACCCCAUAGAGCCCCAUAGGGACUCAUAGGACUGCAUUGGACUCCAUAGAGCUCCCAUAGACCCCCAUAGGACCCCAUAGCCCCCCCAUAGAGCCCCAUAGGGACCCCAUAGAGCCCCAUAGGGACCCCAUAGAGCUCCAUAGAGCCCCAUUGACCCUCAUAGGGCCCCAUAGAGCCCCAUUGAGCCCCCAUAGAGCCCCAUAGGACUCCAUAGAGCCCCAUAGGAGUUCAUUGGCCCCCAUAGGACUGCAUUGGACUCCAUAGAGCCGCAUAGAGCUCCAUAGGACUGCAUUGGCCGCCAUAGACCCCCAUAGACCCCCAUAAGCCCCCAUAAGGACCCCAUAGGACCCCAUAGGGACCCCAUAGAGACCCCAUAAGACCCCAUAAGACCCCAUAGGACCCCAUAACCUCCAUGUCCCCCUGCAGGGGCGCCGUGAGUUGGCGCUGAGCUCCUUCUGGUUGGCCAACUGCUGUAUAAGGACCCCAUAGAGCCCCAUAGAGACCCAUAGAGCCCCAUAGGACCCCAUAGAGACCCCACAGAGACCCAUAGGGACUCAUAGGACUGCAUUGGACUCCAUAGAGCUCCCAUAGACCCCCAUAGGACCCCAUAGCCCCCCCAUAGAGACCCCAUAGGACCCCAUAGAACCUCAUAGGGCCCCAUAGAGCCCAAUUGAGCCCCACUGAUCCCCCAUAGAGCCCCAUAGGAGUUCAUUGGCCCCCAUAGGACUGCAUUGGACUCCAUAGAGUUCCAUAGGACUGCAUUGGCCCCCAUAGGCUGCCAUUAGGACCCCAUAGAGCCCCAUAGAGACCCCAUAGAGCCCCAUAGGGACUCAUAGGGCUGCAUUGGACUCCAUAGAGCCCCAUAGGACUGCGUUGGCCCCCAUAGGACUGCAUUGGACUCCAUAGAGCCCCAUAGGACUGCAUUGGCCCCCAUAAGCUGCCAUUGGGACCCCAUAGGACCCCAUAGAGCCCCCAUAGACCCCCCCAUAGAGCCCAUAGGGACUCAUAGGGCUGCAUUGGACUCCAUAGAGCUCCCAUAGACCCCCAUAGGACUGCAUUGGCCCCCAUAGAGCCCCCAUAGACCCCCAUAGAGCCCCCAUAGACCCCCAUAAGCCCCCAUAAGGACCCCAUAGGGACCCCAUAGAGACCCCAUAGGACCCCAUAGGACCCCAUAACACCCCAUAACCUCCAUGUCCCCCUGCAGGGGCGCCGUGAGUUGGCGCUGAGCUCCUUCUGGUUGGCCAACUGCUGUAUAAGGACCCCAUAGAGCCCCAUAGGACCCCAUAGGACCCCAUAGGACCCCAUAGGACCCCAUAGAGCCCCAUAGAGACCCCAUAGAGACCCAUAGAGACCCCAUAGAGCCCCAUAGGGACUCAUAGGACUGCAUUGGACUCCAUAGAGCCCCAUAGGACCCCAUAGAGACCC